AUGGCGAUGCUUCGUGAUGUUUGGAUCCCAAGUAACCAAUGCUAUUUCACAGGGCUACUUUGGCCAUCUUUUGAGGCAGAAAAUUUUGAGCUAAAGCCUGGUAUUAUUGCUUUGGUUCAACAACAUCAGUUUGGAGCAUUGCCUACUGAAGACCCUUAUGAGCACUUGCUCCGAGUCAUGGAGUAUUCAGAUACAGUAAAGUACCAUGGAGUUCCUCAAGAUAUUAUCAAGUGCAUGUUGUUCACAUUCUCUCUCCGAUAUGAUGCUCGUGCUUGGUAUCGAUCCUUGCCAUCAAGAUCAUACAGUUGGAAUGAGAUAUCACAAGGAUUCUUGGAUAAAUAUUUCCCACUACAAAAGCAGUCCGCGAUUCGAGAUGAGAUCUUCAACUUCGUCCAGCGUGAAGGCGAUAGUUUGUAUGAUGCUUGGGAGAGGUACAAAGCCUUAUUUAGGAGAUGUACUAAUCAUGGGCUCGAGAGGUGGUUAGAGCUGCAUAUAUUCUACGAUGGAUUGACUUUGGACACUCGAGCUUACGUCGAUAUGGCAGUGGGUGGAGCUAUUACAAACAAGACACUUAUUGAUGCUUUUCUGCUGAUUGAGAGCAUAGCCUUUCACCAACUUCAGUGGUACAAUGAGAAGCCCACCUCUAAUUCAUUGGCUUGCUUGCAACAAAUCACUUCACCUCAGCAAAAAUGUCUUACGCAAAAGCCGGAACCAGCUUCUCUGUGUGACAAGAUUGAGCUUGCAUGGACUAUCUUUGAUGAUGAUGACACUAUCCUAGUUGACGCACACCCUUCAAAUCAUAUGGAUACUAGUGUUGGAGAUUCAGUUUUGCAUUGUGAUGAUUCUUCCAUGGAUGAGCCAGAGCUGCAGUUAGUUGCUUUUGAUAUUGAGGAGUCACCUUAA
rnacentral:rRNA from 1 species